ACGCUAGCUACAGGCUUAACACAUGCAAGUCGAGGGGCAGCAUUUUAGUUUGCUUGCAAACUGAAGAUGGCGACCGGCGCACGGGUGAGUAACACGUAUCCAACCUGCCGAUAACUCCGGAAUAGCCUUUCGAAAGAAAGAUUAAUACCGGAUAGCAUACGAAUAUCGCAUGAUAUUUUUAUUAAAGAAUUUCGGUUAUCGAUGGGGAUGCGUUCCAUUAGUUUGUUGGCGGGGUAACGGCCCACCAAGACAACGAUGGAUAGGGGUUCUGAGAGGAAGGUCCCCCACAUUGGAACUGAGACACGGUCCAAACUCCUACGGGAGGCAGCAGUGAGGAAUAUUGGUCAAUGGGCGAGAGCCUGAACCAGCCAAGUAGCGUGAAGGAUGAAGGCUCUAUGGGUCGUAAACUUCUUUUAUAUGGGAAUAAAGUUUUCCACGUGUGGAAUUUUGUAUGUACCAUAUGAAUAAGGAUCGGCUAACUCCGUGCCAGCAGCCGCGGUAAUACGGAGGAUCCGAGCGUUAUCCGGAUUUAUUGGGUUUAAAGGGAGCGUAGGUGGAUUGUUAAGUCAGUUGUGAAAGUUUGCGGCUCAACCGUAAAAUUGCAGUUGAAACUGGCAGUCUUGAGUACAGUAGAGGUGGGCGGAAUUCGUGGUGUAGCGGUGAAAUGCUUAGAUAUCACGAAGAACUCCGAUUGCGAAGGCAGCUCACUAGACUGUCACUGACACUGAUGCUCGAAAGUGUGGGUAUCAAACAGGAUUAGAUACCCUGGUAGUCCACACAGUAAACGAUGAAUACUCGCUGUUUGCGAUAUACAGUAAGCGGCCAAGCGAAAGCAUUAAGUAUUCCACCUGGGGAGUACGCCGGCAACGGUGAAACUCAAAGGAAUUGACGGGGGCCCGCACAAGCGGAGGAACAUGUGGUUUAAUUCGAUGAUACGCGAGGAACCUUACCCGGGCUUAAAUUGCAACAGAAUAUAUUGGAAACAGUAUAGCCGUAAGGCUGUUGUGAAGGUGCUGCAUGGUUGUCGUCAGCUCGUGCCGUGAGGUGUCGGCUUAAGUGCCAUAACGAGCGCAACCCUUAUCUUUAGUUACUAACAGGUGAUGCUGAGGACUCUAGAGAGACUGCCGUCGUAAGAUGUGAGGAAGGUGGGGAUGACGUCAAAUCAGCACGGCCCUUACGUCCGGGGCUACACACGUGUUACAAUGGGGGGUACAGAAGGCGGCUACCUGGUGACAGGAUGCUAAUCCCAAAAACCUCUCUCAGUUCGGAUCGAAGUCUGCAACCCGACUUCGUGAAGCUGGAUUCGCUAGUAAUCGCGCAUCAGCCAUGGCGCGGUGAAUACGUUCCCGGGCCUUGUACACACCGCCCGCCAAGCCAUGAAAGCCGGGGGUACCUGAAGUACGUAACCGCAAGGAGCGUCCUAGGGUAAAACUGGUAAUUGGGGCUAAG
rnacentral:rRNA from 1 species